rnacentral:rRNA from 1 species
UACAGAGGUCUCAAGCGUUUGUUCGGAUUCAUUGGGCGUAAAGGGUGCGUAGGUGGCGCCGUAAGUCAGGUGUGAAAUUUCGAAGCUUAACUCCGAAACUGCAUUUGAUACUGCGGUGCUUGAGGACUGGAGAGGAGACUGGAAUUCACGGUGUAGCAGUGAAAUGCGUAGAUAUCGUGAGGAAGACCAGUGGCGAAGGCGGGUCUCUGGACAGUUCCUGACACUGAGGCAGCGAAGGACCAGGGGGAGCAAAACGGGG